rnacentral:rRNA from 1 species
UACGUAGGGCGCAAGCGUUAUCCGGAAUUAUUGGGCGUAAAGAGCUCGUAGGCGGUUUGUCGCGUCUGCUGUGAAAGACCGGGGCUCAACUCCGGUUCUGCAGUGGGUACGGGCAGACUAGAGUGCAGUAGGGGAGACUGGAAUUCCUGGUGUAGCGGUGAAAUGCGCAGAUAUCAGGAGGAACACCGAUGGCGAAGGCAGGUCUCUGGGCUGUGAACUGACGCUGAGGAGCGAAAGCUAGGGGAGCGAACGGGG